rnacentral:rRNA from 1 species
UGGGGAAUUUUGGACAAUGGGGGAAACCCUGAUCCAGCCAUCCCGCGUGUGCGAUGAAGGCCUUCGGGUUGUAAAGCACUUUUGGCAGGAAAGAAACGUCAUGGGUUAAUACCCCGUGAAACUGACGGUACCUGCAGAAUAAGCACCGGCUAACUACGUGCCAGCAGCCGCGGUAAUACGUAGGGUGCAAGCGUUAAUCGGAAUUACUGGGCGUAAAGCGUGCGCAGGCGGUUCGGAAAGAAAGAUGUGAAAUCCCAGAGCUCAACUUUGGAACUGCAUUUUUAACUACCGGGCUAGAGUGUGUCAGAGGGAGGUGGAAGUCCGCGUGUGGCAGUGAAAUGCGUAGAUAUGCGGAGGAACACCGAUGGCGAAGGCAGCCUCCUGGGAUAACACUGACGCUCAUGCACGAAAGCGUGGGGAGCAAACAGG